rnacentral:lncRNA from 1 species
UGAUUGUCAUUAUUAUCCAUCUUUUCUUAUGAAUAUUAUUUCUAUAAAUCUUUUGACCAAGGAUGGUUAUAAUUUUUUAGUAAAAAAAAAAAUUUGUGAUAUCAUUAUGAAUGGUUGUUGCUCCUAGAUUGAUUUUGAUGAUUACAAAGCAGAUUGAAGGGAUACAAAUAAUUUUAAAUUGAAAAAGUCCUUAUGCUCUUCAGGG